GGAUUGGUGGUUCAGUAGUAGAAUACUCGCCUGCCACGCGGGUGGCGCGGGUUCAAUUCCCGGCCGACGCA
rfam:Ixodes scapularis strain Wikel colony gcontig_1107728702482, whole genome shotgun sequence.